rnacentral:rRNA from 2 species
GUAACAAGGUUUCCGUAGGUGAACCUGCGGAAGGAUCAUUAUUGAAUU